AGUGCAGGCGGUUUUUUAAGUCUGAUGUGAAAGCCCUCGGCUUAACCGAGGAAGUGCAUCGGAAACUGGGAAACUUGAGUGCAGAAGAGGACAGUGGAACUCCAUGUGUAGCGGUGAAAUGCGUAGAUAUAUGGAAGAACACCAGUGGCGAAGGCGGCUGUCUGGUCUGUAACUGACGCUGAGGCUCGAAAGCAUGGGUAGCGAACA
rnacentral:rRNA from 1 species